AAGACCUUGCACUUUUGGAGCGGCCGAUGUCUGAUUAGCUAGUUGGUGGGGUAAUGGCCUACCAAAGCUUCGAUCAGUAGCUGGUCUGAGAGGACGGCCAGCCACACUGGGACUGAGACACGGCCCAGACUCCUACGGGAGGCAGCAGUGGGGAAUUUUGGACAAUGGGCGCAAGCCUGAUCCAGCCAUGCCGCGUGAGUGAAGAAGGCCUUCGGGUUGUAAAGCUCUUUCAGCCGGGAAGAAAAGGUUGCGAUUAAUAAUCGCAAUUUAUGACGGUACCGGAAGAAGAAGCACCGGCUAACUACGUGCCAGCAGCCGCGGUAAUACGUAGGGUGCGAGCGUUAAUCGGAAUUACUGGGCGUAAAGGGUGCGCAGGCGGUUUUGUAAGUCAGAUGUGAGAUCCCCGGGCUUAACCUGGGAACU
rnacentral:rRNA from 1 species